GCGUCUUGCACUAACCGCACGGAGCGACCACAAAUGGGACCCCCCACCACCUGCUGGAGAACCCCCACACGUGCCCACGUUCGAUGAAUGGGUGGCACUAGGCAGUCAGACUUCGGUUAGUACAUUUGCCUAACUAUUGACAAACUAUCUCUCAUUCAUUCAACACUAUCAUAUUAUAUUUACCCUUACAAUCUCUUCUCAAACAUGUAGGGGACUGGUGACUCGACUCCUGCUUCGUCGAGUUCUUGAUGAUGUUCUUUAAGUUUCUACUUGUGUUCAUUAGAUGAUGUUCUUG
rnacentral:lncRNA from 1 species